rnacentral:tRNA from 1 species
UCAUAUUUAGUAUAUUAAAUAUAUUAGAUUUAGAUUCUAAAGAAAUAAAUAUGAU